CCUACGGGAGGCAGCAGUGGGGAAUUUUGGACAAUGGGCGCAAGCCUGAUCCUAGCCAUGCCGCGUGUGGGAAGAAGGCCUUCGGGUUGUAAACCACUUUUGUCAGGGAAGAAACGGCCUUUUCUAAUACAAGGGGCUAAUGACGGUACCUGAAGAAUAAGCACCGG
rnacentral:rRNA from 1 species